GAUGAACGCUGGCGGCGUGCCUAAUACAUGCAAGUCGAGCGAACAGACGAGGAGCUUGCUCCUCUGACGUUAGCGGCGGACGGGUGAGUAACACGUGGAUAACCUACCUAUAAGACUGGGAUAACUUCGGGAAACCGGAGCUAAUACCGGAUAAUAUAUUGCACCGCAUGGUUCAAUAGUGAAAUACGGCUUUUCUGUAACUUAUAGAUGGAUCCGCGCCGCAUUAGCUAGUUGGUAAGGUAACGGCUUACCACGGCAACGAUGCGUAGCCGACCUGAGGGGGUGGUCGGCCACACUGGAGCUGGGACACGGUCCAGACUCCUACGGGAGGCAGCAGUAGGGAAUCUUACGCAAUGGGCGAAAGCCUGACGGAGCAACGCCGCGUGAGUGAUGAAGGUCUUCGGAUCGUAAAACUCUGUUAUUAGGGAAGAACAAAUGUGUAAGUAACUAUGCACGUCUUGACGGUACCUAAUCAGAAAGCCACGGCUAACUACGUG
rnacentral:rRNA from 1 species